GCCUGGGUGGCUCAGUCGGUUGAGCAUCCAACUGCAGCUUGGGUCAUGAUCUUUGGUUUGUGGGUUCGAGCCCUGUGUCAGGCU
rnacentral:tRNA from 1 species